rnacentral:rRNA from 1 species
GCAUAUCAAUAAGCGGAGGAAAAGAAACCAACAGGGAUUGCCUCAGUAACGGCGAGUGAAGCGGCAACAGCUCAAAUUUGAAAUCUGGCCCCCAGGGUCCGAGUUGUAAUUUGUAGAGGAUGCUUUUGGUGAGGUGCCUUCCGAGUUCCCUGGAACGGGACGCCAUAGAGGGUGAGAGCCCCGUCUGGUUGGACACCGAGCCUCUGUAAAGCUCCUUCGACGAGUCGAGUAGUUUGGGAAUGCUGCUCUAAAUGGGAGGUAUAUGUCUUCUAAAGCUAAAUAUUGGCCAGAGACCGAUAGCGCACAAGUAGAGUGAUCGAAAGAUGAAAAGCACUUUGAAAAGAGGGUUAAAAAGUACGUGAAAUUGUUGAAAGGGAAGCGCUCAUGACCAGACUUGGGCUUGGCGAAUCAUCCAGCGUUCUCGCUGGUGCACUUCGCCUCGUUCAGGCCAGCAUCAGUUUGUCCCGGGGGAUAAAAGCUUCGGGAACGUGGCUGCUUCGGCAGUGUUAUAGCCCGCUGCACAAUACCCUGGGGUGGACUGAGGUUCGCGCUCCGCAAGGAUGCUGGCGUAAUGGUCAUCAGCGACCCGUCUUGAAACACGGACCAAGGAGUCGUCUUCGUAUGCGAGUGUUCGGGUGUCAAACCCCUACGCGUAAUGAAAGUGAACGCAGGUGAGAGCUUCGGCGCAUCAUCGACCGAUCCUGAUGUUCUCGGAUGGAUUUGAGUAAGAGCAUACGGGGCCGGACCCGAAAGAAGGUGAACUAUGCCUGUAUAGGGUGAAGCCAGAGGAAACUCUGGUGGAGGCUCGCAGCGGUUCUGACGUGCAAAUCGAUCGUCAAAUAUGGGCAUGGGGGCGAAAGACUAAUCGAA